rnacentral:rRNA from 1 species
AUUGAACGCUGGCGGAAUGCUUUACACAUGCAAGUCGAACGGCAGCACGGACUUCGGUCUGGUGGCGAGUGGCGAACGGGUGAGUAAUGUAUCGGAACGUGCCCAGUCGUAGGGGAUAACGUAGUGAAAAUUACGCUAAUACCGCAUACGAUCUAUGGAUGAAAGCGGGGGAUCGCAAGACCUCGCGCGAUUGGAGCGGCCGAUAUCAGAUUAGGUAGUUGGUGGGGUAAAGGCCCACCAAGCCAACGAUCUGUAGCUGGUCUGAGAGGACGAGCGGCCACACUGGAACUGAGACACGGUCCAGACUCCUACGGGAGGCAGCAGUGGGGAAUUUUGGACAAUGGGCGAAAGCCUGAUCCAGCCAUUCCGCGUGCAGGAUGAAGGCCCUCGGGUUGUAAACUGCUUUUGUACAGAACGAAAAGGUUUCUACUAAUACUAGGAGCUCAUGACGGUACUGUAAGAAUAAGCACCGGCUAACUACGUGCCAGCAGCCGCCGUAA